GAUGAACGCUGGCGGCGUGCCUAAUACAUGCAAGUCGAGCGAACGGACGAGAAGCUUGCUUCUCUGAUGUUAGCGGCGGACGGGUGAGUAACACGUGGAUAACCUACCUAUAAGACUGGGAUAACUUCGGGAAACCGGGGCUAAUACCGGAUAAUAUUUUGAACCGCAUGGUUCAAAAGUGAAAGACGGUCUUGCUGUCACUUAUAGAUGGAUCCGCGCUGCAUUAGCUAGUUGGUAGGGUAACGGCUUACCAAGGCAACGAUGCAUAGCCGACCUGAGAGGGUGAUCGGCCACACUGGAACUGAGACACGGUCCAGACUCCUACGGGAGGCAGCAGUAGGGAAUCUUCCGCAAUGGGCGAAAGCCUGACGGAGCAACGCCGCGUGAGUGAUGAAGGUCUUCGGAUCGUAAAACUCUGUUAUUAGGGAAGAACAUAUGUGUAAGUAACUGUGCACAUCUUGACGGUACCUAAUCAGAAAGCCAUGGCUAACUACGUG
rnacentral:rRNA from 1 species